rnacentral:rRNA from 1 species
AUGAACGCUGGCGGCGUGCCUAAUACAUGCAAGUCGAGCGAACAGACGAGGAGCUUGCUCCUCUGACGUUAGCGGCGGACGGGUGAGUAACCCGUGGAUAACCUACCUAUAAGACUGGGAUAACUUCGGGAAACCGGAGCUAAUACCGGAUAAUAUAUUGAACCGCAUGGUUCAAUAGUGAAAGACGGUUUUGCUGUCACUUAUAGAUGGAUCCGCGCCGCAUUAGCUAGUUGGUAAGGUAACGGCUUACCAAGGCAACGAUGCGUAGCCGACCUGAGAGGGUGAUCGGCCACACUGGAACUGAGACACGGUCCAGACUCCUACGGGAGGCAGCAGUAGGGAAUCUUCCGCAAUGGGCGAAAGCCUGACGGAGCAACGCCGCGUGAGUGAUGAAGGUCUUCGGAUCGUAAAACUCUGUUAUUAGGGAAGAACAAAUGUGUAAGUAACUAUGCACGUCUUGACGGUACCUAAUCAGAAAGCCACGGCUAACUACGUG